rnacentral:rRNA from 1 species
GAUGAACGCUGGCGGCGUGCCUAAUACAUGCAAGUCGAGCGAACAGACGAGGAGCUUGCUCCUCUGACGUUAGCGGCGGACGGGUGAGUAACACGUAGGUAACCUACCUAUAAGACUGGGAUAACUUCGGGAAACCGGAGCUAAUACCGGAUAAUAUUUCGAACCGCAUGGUUCGAUAGUGAAAGAUGGCUUUGCUAUCACUUAUAGAUGGACCUGCGCCGUAUUAGCUAGUUGGUAAGGUAACGGCUUACCAAGGCAACGAUACGUAGCCGACCUGAGAGGGUGAUCGGCCACACUGGAACUGAGACACGGUCCAGACUCCUACGGGAGGCAGCAGUAGGGAAUCUUCCGCAAUGGGCGAAAGCCUGACGGAGCAACGCCGCGUGAGUGAUGAAGGUCUUCGGAUCGUAAAACUCUGUUAUUAGGGAAGAACAAACGUGUAAGUAACUAUGCACGUCUUGACGGUACCUAAUCAGAAAGCCACGGCUAACUACGUG